CUGGUCACUUGUGUUCUUUCAUCUUUUUUCCUUAAUCAGUUUUGCCUGCACUCUCCCUGGAUGCUGGAGGCUGGAGGCAGUGACGCAGCAACAGCGCGAGGCGACUUUGGAGCGGCCUCAUAUAGCGACCUCGCCUUCCGCUGCGCGUCCUCCCAGAGCCCAAGAAGCCCGGAACCUGUGGCAUCCAUCUCUGAAAGGAGAAGACGGCAACCCAGCCGAGGCACUACUGGGUUGGGGUCUCCACGACCGAGCUGGUCUCAUCAAGUGGCGUCCAACAAGGGGCUCAAACCCGGGUUGAGGGGUUGCUGGAGCGACGGAGAACGUGGAACUACACUGGAGGACACCAGAGUACUCUUAAGCAAUCCCUUGGCCAAAACCAGCAACUGAUUUGGAUACCAUCAAGACACCUGAAAUCUUGUCAUGAGCCAGAUACUGAGGAAGAGAUUUUGGGAAGAACCCAAGGACCCCCCAGUUGCAGCCAUGUCAAGACUGACAAUAAGGAAGACAUCAGUCCCAGCAAGCAACAUUCAUCGGGCACAGCCACCCAUGUGGGGCCAGAUCAAGAAGUUGACACAGAUGGCGGAAGAAAAUCUGAAGAAAGCGGAUGACCAGCUACAAUGAGUAAUCUAAUGUCUGCAGAUGUGGAUCCCGAAUCCUGCGAGAAGUAGCCCACCAUGACGAAGCUGCCUUUGCUUUUAUCGCUUUGCAAAAACAGAAAAGGGGACAUGCUGGGAACAGGCCCUAAGCCUGUCAUAAACAGGCCUUAAACUGACCAUGAACAGGAUUUCUGCACGAAUGUGACGUGCUCCUGAUGGCUAUGACGCCCACUGCUAGAAGUUGUUAGUUUACUGGAGCAGGGUAGGGAACACCUGGCCCACCCGGAGCGGAAAACUGCUCAAACCACAAACAACAGCAUGAGUGGCCUGAGCCUUAACAACAUGUUUUUGCUGCAGAUAAUCGGCCAGAGACUGUUUCUCUACUCCUCUCUAAGUAUGCUUUGUUUUUCGUAAGGAAUGCUUUUAGCUAAUCUGUAACCUAUAGAAACAAUGCUUAUCACUGGCUUGCUGUCAAUAAACAUGUGGGUCAAACUCUGUUUGUGGCUCUCAGCUCUCAAGGCUGUUUUCCCCCUGAUUCCCACUUUGCACUUUAUUUCUGUGUGUUUGUCUUCAUUCCUCUAGCACCACUGGGUUGGGGUCUCCUUGACCAAGCUGGUCUCGGCACAUAUGCAUGUAUGCCCAGGUCCUGAAAUCAGCCUUGUGGAGCCUGUGGGUAGGAAAAGUCAACCCUCUGUGCAUGUAGGCCUGGAACCUGACCAAUACUGUAUUUUCCUACCACGUUUGGUUUCAAAUGUGGAAACUGCCCAUACGGACCUACUGCAUUUGUUUUUAAAAAUCCUCUGUAAGUGGACCUGCACAGUUCAGGCCCAGAUUGUUCCAGGAUCAACCCUACAGUAG
rnacentral:lncRNA from 10 species